CGCGCGUAAACCACCGGCACGCUUUUCACGCGCACGUUCCUUACGUCGUUCUUUCUGUGUCACGUGGCCACUUGACUUCAUUCAUGGAGACAGGUCUUUUAUACUACGAGCGUGUAUGCGUCCUCCAUAAAAAUGCACGCAGUGUAAUGAACGCUUCUACGAAUCGGCCGCAACCAACCAAAACAUAAUCGAUUCGAGGAAAACCGAAUUUUAUAAGCUACACGUAAUCGAAAAAUCAACACGUGUCUUAUUCCCUUGCUGGUUUCUUAUUCUACAUGCACUCGUGAUUCAACUUUAACCAAUAAGUGGUAGCCGUUACACACGACAUCUCGCAGUAGCUGUUUUCCAAAUUACUAUCAUUACCAAAGUAAAAGUUGCCUGGACGCGAUAAACUUCGCCUUACCAGUUAGAGGUUAAAAUCAUCUUUACAUCUAUCGCUUUUUCAAUCUUCCACAAAUACCUCCAAACGUGUAUCUUCCCUUUUAUGAUUGCCAAACUUAAAACAUGGUGUGCAAACAUUGCCCAACACCGGCGAACCGUUCGCCGGCUGCUUCUAAACAGUUUCCUGCACGAAAGCAGUCGCGAUUCGUUCGUUACCUACAUUUCCCUAUCGGCGACGAUUUCUCACCGCCCCCCCCCUCUCUCUCUCUCUCUCUCUCUCAUUCUCUCUCUUCAUUCCCGGCCUUAGCAAGGUAAAAUCGCGCGUCGCAGUCACGUAAGCGUGGCCUCUCCGUGAAGAGGACACGGAUGCCUCGGUCUACCGGUAUUUAAUUAAGCCCGGUCGUUCGAGAAAAAAAGCUGUUGGUACAGGAAGCGAUGGGUUUCGAGUACGCCGAGCAGCGGACCGUAGUUCGAGCCCCGUUACGGGACAGAUUCAUUGGCGUAGUCCCAAUCGAUCGGCCAAUGUCCUUUGCACAACGGAUGUUUGUGCAUCGUGGCGCCUCGACGCCGUUGCAGAAUGCCGGUGCAACUUCUCGCUGGUAUUCCGCAGGGAUCGCGAACCGCGUCGACCUUAAAAAUUAUCGACACGAGACCCGAGAGUAAUGGUCAGAGCAGAACACCGGCUUUGUCUUUGUCGCGCGUUCCCUUUUUCCGCUUUAUCUCGCUCUAUCUGUCCACCACGAAAGGCAAACGAUCCGUGUUGUUUUUCAGCCUGACAAGAAAACGGACGGUCGAUGCACUUUCAAUCGCAGGUCGAUCGCGAUACGUAAUCUCUGAGCGCACAGAGGCAACCAAAUCGAGUAAUGUGCAUACUAUGAGAUUCGAAUGGAAGAAUUAAGAUGAAAAAAUACACGAUUUGCCACCUGCAUAUUAUUAUCCUUGAUAAACGUGCUGUCUAAUUUUAGCAUGAUCGUAGGAUAAUGGGAAUGAGAUUUGACAUAAUGAUUGUUUGCUCAAUAGCGUAGAGUUUAGAAAAUAUGUAGAACAAAAUGAGGAAAUGAAGAUCGAGCUGAUUUCACAGGUAGUGAAGCUUUCUGUGGUUUUAGAAUAGCGUAAAGUAUAGAAGAUCGUAAAACGUAUCUUCCUUUUAAUGAGCCACUACUAUUCAACCAUCUUUCUCACGUAUGAAGAAUUCACAAUACUUUAUUGUUCAGUCUCUGAAGACGACAGACUUUUGUCUCCUUCUAAUAGUCGCUACAACAUUAAAAUAUCUUCCGGUGUGAUUGUAACUGAUCGUAACUGAUCGUAACUGCCAAGCUAUUGCAUUAACAUCUGUUAUUUAUGAUUAAUAAUUAUUUAAUGUUAUUCUGUGUACAAGAUGUAUCA